rnacentral:misc_RNA from 1 species
UUUCCGUAGGUGAACCUGCGGAAGGAUCAUUACCAAAACGGUAGAAGGAUGGUCGCUCAAGCACUGUCGUUGCCCACGACGCCGCGGGGCCCCAUCCAACUAUUGCACCCUUUGUCUUUGCGUACUGUAUGUUUCCUCGGUGGGCUCGCCCGCCGAUAGGACAUUUAUAAACUCUUUGUAAUUGCAAUCAGCGUCAGAAACAACUAUAAUAGUUACAACUUUCAACAACGGAUCUCUUGGUUCUGGCAUCGAUGAAGAACGCAGC